GAUGAACGCUAGCGAUAGGCUUAACACAUGCAAGUCGAGGGGCAGCACAAGGUAGCUUGCUAUCUGGGUGGCGACCGGCGCACGGGUGCGUAACGCGUAUGCAACUUGCCCUAUACAGGAGGAUAACCCGUCGAAAGACGGACUAAUACUGCGUAUGCUCACAACUUGGCAUCAAGUGGUGAGGAAAGAAAUUCGGUAUAGGAUAGGCAUGCGUCCCAUUAGCUUGUUGGUGAGGUAACGGCUCACCAAGGCAACGAUGGGUAGGGGAACUGAGAGGUUUAUCCCCCACACUGGUACUGAGACCCGGACCAGACUCCUACGGGAGGCAGCAGUGAGGAAUAUUGAUCAAUGGGCGCGAGCCUGAACCAGCCAAGUCGCGUGAAGGAUGACUGUCUUAUGGAUUGUAAACUUCUUUUAUACGGGAAUAACAAGAGUCACGUGUGACUCCCUGCAUGUACCGUAUGAAUAAGCAUCGGCUAACUCCGUG
rnacentral:rRNA from 1 species